GCGGACGGGUGAGUAACGCGUGAGAAUCUGGCUUCAGGUCGGGGACAACAGUGGGAAACCGCUGCUAAUACCGAAUGUGCCUUAGGGUGAAAGAUUUAUCGUCGAUAGAUUGGCUCGCGUCAGAUUAGCUAGUUGGUGAGGUAAAGGCUCACCAAGGCGACGAUCUGUAACUGGUCUGAGAGGAUGACCAGUCACACUGGAACUGAGACACGGUCCAGACUCCUACGGGAGGCAGCAGUGGGGAAUUUUCCGCAAUGGGCGAAAGCCUGACGGAGCAAUACCGCGUGUGGGAGGACGCUUUUUGGAGUGUAAACCACUUUUAUUAGGGAAGAAGAUCUGACGGUACCUAAUGAAUCAGCAUCGGCUAACUCCGUGCCAGCAGCCGCGGU
rnacentral:rRNA from 1 species